rnacentral:tRNA from 1 species
GAGGGUAUAGCUCAGUGGUAGAGCGCAUGCCUAGCAUGCAUGAGGUCCUGGGUUCAAUUCCCAGUGCCUCUG